UUGUCUUUUAAAGGAAGACCCGUAUGAAUGGCAUAACGAAGGCUUAACUGUCUCCUUUUUCAAGUCAAUGAAAUUGAUCUCCCCGUGCAGAAGCGGGGAUAUAUACCUAAGACGAGAAGACCCUGUGGAGCUUUAGACACAAAGCAGAUCUGGCCAAAACCCACACAACCCAAGCUAAAAGAAUCCUGCUCCCAUGUCUUCGGUUGGGGCGACCACGGGGAAACAAAUAACCCCCACGCAGAACAAGAGCACACCCUCUUAAAAACGAGAGUCACCACUCCAAAAAACAGAACCUCUGACUAUAAGAUCCGGUAAUACCGAUCAACGGACCAAGUUACCCCAGGGAUAACAGCGCAAUCCCCUUUAAGAGCCCAUAUCGACAAGGGGGUUUACGACCUCGAUGUUGGAUCAGGACAUCCUAAUGGUGCAGCCGCUAUUAAGGGUUCGUUUGUUCAACGAUUAAAGUCCUACGUGAUCUGAGUUCAGACCGAUGGAUCAGCGCGGAUU
rnacentral:rRNA from 1 species